UACGUUGGAUGCAAGCGUUGUCCGGAUUUAUUGGGUUUAAAGGGUGCGUAGGCGGCCUAUUAAGUUAGUGGUAAAAACGUUCGGCUUAACCGGAUACCCGCCAUUGAUACUGAUAGACUUGAGUGCGACAGAGGGUGUUGGAAUGUGUGGUGUAGCGGUGAAAUGCUUAGAUAUCACGCAGAACACCAAUUGCGAAGGCAGAUGCCUAUGUCGUAACUGACGCUGAGGCACGACAGCGUGGGGAUCUAACAGG
rnacentral:rRNA from 1 species